UUCUGUCGCCAGGGGAGUCCCGAAGGGACUGAGAAAGCCACCGUGCUGACCCUGGAACCUGAUCCGGUUGAUACCGGCGGAGGAAGAGCGACCAUGACCUACU
rnacentral:ncRNA from 1 species